AUACUGAAUCAGUGCCCGUAGAGCCGAAAC
rnacentral:piRNA from 1 species